AAUGCACCAAUUUGUAAGUCGCUCUAGAUAAGAGCGUCUGCUAAAUGACGUAAA
rfam:Salmo salar isolate Sally breed double haploid chromosome ssa04, whole genome shotgun sequence.